rnacentral:rRNA from 1 species
UACGGGGGGGGUAAGCGUUGUUCGGAAUUACUGGGCGUAAAGGGCUCGUAGGCGGCCAACUAAGUCAUACGUGAAAUCCCUCAGCUUAACUGGGGAACUGCGUGUGAUACUGGAUGGCUUGGAUUUGGGAGAGGGAUGCGGAAUUCCAGGUGUAGCGGUGAAAUGCGCAGAUAUCAGGAGGAACACCGAUUGCGAAGGCAGCUCGCUGGGACGUUACUGACGCUGAGACGCGAAAGCGUGGGGAGCAAACAGG